rnacentral:rRNA from 1 species
UGAAUUGGCGGCAGCUACACAUGCAGUCGAGCGGUAGCACAAGAGAGCUUGCUCUCUGGGUGACGAGCGGCGGACGGGUGAGUAAUGUCUGGGAAACUGCCUGAUGGCGGGGGAUAACUAGUGGAAACGGUAGCUAAUACCGCAUAACGUCGCAAGACCAAAGUGGGGGACCUUCGGGCCUCACGCCAUCAGAUGUGCCCAGGUGGGAUUAGCUGGUAGGUGGGGUAACGGCUCACCUAGGCGACGAUCCCUAGCUGGUCUGAGAGGAUGACCAGCCACACUGGAACUGAGACACGGUCCAGACUCCUACGGGAGGCAGCAGUGGGGAAUAUUGCACAAUGGGCGCAAGCCUGAUGCAGCCAUGCCGCGUGUGUGAAGAAGGCCUUCGGGUUGUAAAGCACUUUCAGCGAGGAGGAAGGGUAAUGUGUUAUAAGAACAUUGCAAAAGGGAGGCGGGGGG